CGCGGCUGCUUAAAGGGGCCGCGACGCCCGGCCAGAGCCCAAGGGGCCCCGAGCCUCGCGUCCCCCCUCCCCCCCGAUCCACGCGCAGCGCAGCGCGGGGCAGCCCUUCCCUUCGGACGGGCGGACAGACGGAUCCAGGGGCCGGCCCAGGCAGGGAUGCCUUAGCAGACACGCUGAAAGGGCUAGCCUCGCUGGACCACCACUCUGCCUGCAGAAGUCCCAGCUCCAGGGGUGCCAGGCAUAGACUGCAGAACUCAACACCGAUGAAUCCACUCAUAGAUCAUUCCAAAUGCAGCUGGACAGUCAGUACAGAGGCCAAGACUCCUCUGGCUGGGAUACAGCAUCCAGUCAGUCCCCUGGGAUCAUCAGCCAAUAAGGAGGGCCUCACAGACCAUCAAGACUUUGGCCUGACCUACAAACUCAUGAUUCUCUGAAGGGGAGCCAGGACACUCCAGAACCAGUCAGUGGAUACACAAGUUGAGCGCCCUAGGAAAUGCUGCAUCCAGGAUCAAGUAUCUCCAGGUUGGUCAUGGGCAGGAGGUCACAUCCUACUUCUUGAUCAUUACUGUAUUCCUUACAGGGAGGUGCUCAGCUAUCUUCUGUAAACCUUAACCUUUACUUAACCAAACCAAAAACUAUAAA